rnacentral:rRNA from 1 species
CUCCGGACGGGUAUAAACCGGGAAACUGGGUAUAAUCCCCGAUAGAUCUCGGUCGCUGGAAUGCCCGAGAUCGAAAGCUCCGGCGCCAGAGGAUGGGUCUGCGGCCUAUCAGGUAGUAGUGGGUGUAGCGUACCUACUAGCCUACGACGGGUACGGGUUGUGAGAGCAAGAGCCCGGAGAUGGAUUCUGAGACACGAAUCCAGGCCUUACGGGGUGCAGCAGGCGCGAAAACUUUACAAUGCCGGCAACGGCGAUAAGGGGACCUCGAGUGCCAGGUUACAAAUCUGGCUGUCGUGAUGCCUAAAAAGCAUUGCAUAGCAAGGGCCGGGCAAGACCGGUGCCAGCCGCCGCGGUAAACACCGGCGGCUCGAGUGGUAACCGUUAUUAUUGGGUCUAAAGGGUCUGUAGCCGGCCGGAUAAGUCUCUUGAGAAAUCCAGCAGCUCAACUGUUGGG